rnacentral:rRNA from 1 species
CCUACGGGAGGCAGCAGUGAGGAAUAUUGGUCAAUGGACGAGAGUCUGAACCAGCCAAGUAGCGUGAAGGAUGACUGCCCUAUGGGUUGUAAACUUCUUUUAUAUGGGAAUAAAAUGUUCCACGUGUGGGAUUUUGUAUGUAUAAUAUGAAUAAGGAUAGGCUAACUCCGUGCCAGCAGCCGCGGUAAUACGGAGGAUCCGAGCGUUAUCCGGACUUAUUGGGUUUAAAGGGUGCGUAGGUGGAUUGUUAAGUCAGUUGUGAAAGUUUGCGGCUCAACCGUAAAAUUGCAGUUGAAACUGGCAGUCUUGAGUACAGUAGAGGUAGGCGGAAUUCGUGAUGUAGCGGUGAAAUGCUUAGAUAUCACGAAGAACUCCGAUUGCGAAGGCAGUUCACUGGACUGCAACUGACACUGAGGCUCGAAAGUGUGGGUAUCAAACAGGAUUAGAUACCCGGGUAGUC